rnacentral:rRNA from 1 species
UACGUAGGAGCCAAGCGUUGUCCGGAUUGACUGGGCGUAAAGCGCACGCGGGCGGGUGCGCGCGUGGGGUGUGAAACCAGGUGGCUUAACUGCCUGUCGCCAUCCCAUACGGCGCGCCUGGAGCCAUCCAGAGGUCGGUGGAAUUGCCGGUGUAGUGGUGAAAUGCGCAGAUAUCGGGAGGAACACCAGUGGCGAAGGCGGCACUCUGGGCCGGUACUGACGCUGAGGAGCGAAAGCGUGGGGAGCGAACAGG